rnacentral:rRNA from 1 species
CCAUCCUCCAAGGCUAAAUACUCCUGACCGACCGAUAGUGAACCAGUACCGUGAGGGAAAGGCGAAAAGAACCCCGGAGAGGGGAGUGAAAUAGAUCCUGAAACCGUGUGCGUACAAGCAGUAGGAGCUCGCAAGAGUGACUGCGUACCUUUUGUAUAAUGGGUCAGCGACUUACUGUUCGUGGCAAGCUUAACCGUAUAGGGGAGGCGAAGGGAAACCGAGUCUGAUAAGGGCGCAUAGUCGCGGGCAGUAGACCCGAAACCGGGUGAUCUAGUCAUGGCCAGGGUGAAGGUGCCGUAACAGGUACUGGAGGCCCGAACCCACGUCUGUUGCAAAAGACGGGGAUGAGCUGUGAUUAGGAGUGAAAAGCUAAUCGAACCCGGAGAUAGCUGGUUCUCCUCGAAAGCUAUUUAGGUAGCGCCUCAUAUGUAUCCUCUCGGGGGUAGAGCACUGUUAUGGCUAGGGGGUCAUCGCGACUUACCAAACCAUUGCAAACUCCGAAUACCGAGACGGACUGUAUGGGAGACACACGGCGGGUGCUAACGUCCGUCGUGAAAAGGGAAACAACCCAGACCCACAGCUAAGGUCCCAAAUUCACUGCUAAGUGGAAAACGAUGUGGAAAGGCAUAGACAGCCAGGAGGUUGGCUUAGAAGCAGCCACCCUUUAAAGAAAGCGUAAUAGCUCACUGGUCGAGUCGGUCUGCGCGGAAGAUUUAACGGGGCUAAGCAGUGAACCGAAGCUUGGGGUGCAUAAAACUUGUUUUAUGCGCGGUAGAGGAGCGUUCCGUAAGCCUGCGAAGGUGGAUUGAGAAGUCUGCUGGAGGUAUCGGAAGUGCGAAUGCUGACAUGAGUAACGAUAAUGCGGGUGAAAAGCCCGCACGCCGAAAGCCCAAGGUUUCCUUGCGCAACGUUAAUCGACGCAGGGUUAGUCGGUCCCUAAGGCGAGGGCGAAAGCCGUAGUCGAUGGGAAGCAGGUUAAUAUUCCUGCACCUCGCGUGAGUGCGAUGGAGGGACGGAGAAGGUUAGGUGUACCGGGCGUUGGUUGUCCCGGGGAAAGGCGGUAGGUUUGAAUCUUUGGCAAAUCCGGGAUUCUUUAAGACCGAGCACCGAGACGAGCCUUUAUGGCGAAGUCACUGAUACCACGCUUCCAGGAAAAGCUCCUAAGCUUCAGCUCACGAAGACCGUACCGUAAACCGACACAGGUGGGUAGGAUGAGAAUUCUCAGGCGCUUGAGAGAACUCGGGUGAAGGAACUAGGCAACAUGGCACCGUAACUUCGGGAGAAGGUGCACCCUUUUUGGUGGCUCAUGCGAGCUAUAGCUGAAGAGGGUCGCAGAAACCAGGCCGCUGCGACUGUUUAUCAAAAACACAGCACUCUGCAAACACGAAAGUGGACGUAUAGGGUGUGACGCCUGCCCGGUGCUGGAAGGUUAAUUGAUGGGGUCAGCCGCAAGGCGAAGCUCUUGAUCGAAGCCCCAGUAAACGGCGGCCGUAACUAUAACGGUCCUAAGGUAGCGAAAUUCCUUGUCGGGUAAGUUCCGACCUGCACGAAUGGCGUAACGACAGCGGCGCUGUCUCCACCCGAGACUCAGUGAAAUUGAAAUCGCUGUGAAGAUGCAGCGUUCCCGUGGCAAGACGGAAAGACCCCGUGAACCUUUACUAUAGCUUUACACUGAACGUUGAGUUCGUCUGUGUAGGAUAGGUGGGAGGCUAUGAAACUGUGGCGCUAGCUGCAGUGGAGCCAUCCUUGAAAUACCACCCUGUCGUGCUUGACGUUCUAACCUAGGUCCGUUAUCCGGAUCAGGGACCGUGUAUGGUGGGUAGUUUGACUGGGGCGGUCUCCUCCUAAAGAGUAACGGAGGAGCACGAAGGUACGCUCAGCGCGGUCGGACAUCGCGCACUGUGUGCAAAGGCAUAAGCGUGCUUGACUGCAAGAUCGACGGAUCAAGCAGGUACGAAAGUAGGUCUUAGUGAUCCGGUGGUUCUGUAUGGAAGGGCCAUCGCUCAACGGAUAAAAGGUACUCCGGGGAUAACAGGCUGAUACCGCCCAAGAGUUCAUAUCGACGGCGGUGUUUGGCACCUCGAUGUCGGCUCAUCACAUCCUGGGGCUGUAGUCGGUCCCAAGGGUAUGGCUGUUCGCCAUUUAAAGUGGUACGCGAGCUGGGUUCAGAACGUCGUGAGACAGUUCGGUCCCUAUCUGCCAUGGGCGUUGGAAGUUUGAGAGGGGCUGCUCCUAGUACGAGAGGACCGGAGUGGACGAACCUCUGGUGUUCCGGUUGUCACGCCAGUGGCAUUGCCGGGUAGCUAUGUUCGGAAGCGAUAACCGCUGAAAGCAUCUAAGCGGGAAGCGCGCCUCAAGAUGAGACUUCCCGGGGCACAAGCCCCCUAAAGGAACCAUGUAGACUACGUGGUUGAUAGGUCAGGUGUGUAAGUACAGCAAUGUAUUGAGCUAACUGAUACUAAUGAUCCGUGCGGCUUGACCAUAUAACCUCA